CAGCACCUCAAGUGGUCAGGAUGAUUAUUGGGCCUAAAGCAUCCGUAGCCGGCGCUGGAAGUUUUCGGUUAAAUCUGUACGCUCAACGUACAGGCUGCCGGGAAUACUGCAGCGCUAGGGAGUGGGAGAGGUAGACGGUACUCGGUAGGAAGGGGUAAAAUCCUUUGAUCUAUUGAUGGCCACCUGUGGCGAAGGCGGUCUACCAGAACACGUCCGACGGUGAGGGAUGAAAGCUGGGGGAGCAAACCGGAUUAGAUACCCGAGUAGUCC
rnacentral:rRNA from 1 species